rnacentral:rRNA from 1 species
GACGAACGCUGGCGGCGUGCCUAAUACAUGCAAGUAGAACGCUGAAGGAGGAGCUUGCUUCUCCGGAUGAGUUGCGAACGGGUGAGUAACGCGUAGGUAACCUGCCUGGUAGCGGGGGAUAACUAUUGGAAACGAUAGCUAAUACCGCAUAAGAGUAGAUGUCGCAUGACAUUUGCUUAAAAGGUGCAAUUGCAUCACUACCAGAUGGACCUGCGUUGUAUUAGCUAGUUGGUGAGGUAACGGCUCACCAAGGCAACGAUACAUAGCCGACCUGAGAGGGUGAUCGGCCACACUGGGACUGAGACACGGCCCAGACUCCUACGGGAGGCAGCAGUAGGGAAUCUUCGGCAAUGGACGGAAGUCUGACCGAGCAAACGCCCGGCGUGAAGUGAAAGAAAGGUUUUUCGGGAUUCGUAAAAGCUUCUGUUGUAA